rnacentral:rRNA from 1 species
AUUGAACGCUGGCGGCAGGCCUAACACAUGCAAGUCGAGCGGUAGAGAGAAGCUUGCUUCUCUUGAGAGCGGCGGACGGGUGAGUAAUGCCUAGGAAUCUGCCUGGUAGUGGGGGAUAACGCUCGGAAACGGACGCUAAUACCGCAUACGUCCUACGGGAGAAAGCAGGGGACCUUCGGGCCUUGCGCUAUCAGAUGAGCCUAGGUCGGAUUAGCUAGUUGGUGAGGUAAUGGCUCACCAAGGCGACGAUCCGUAACUGGUCUGAGAGGAUGAUCAGUCACACUGGAACUGAGACACGGUCCAGACUCCUACGGGAGGCAGCAGUGGGGAAUAUUGGACAAUGGGCGAAAGCCUGAUCCAGCCAUGCCGCGUGUGUGAAGAAGGUCUUCGGAUUGUAAAGCACUUUAAGUUGGGAGGAAGGGCAGUAACCUAAUAC